CAAGUUUCCUAGGGUUCUUGGAUAAACCCAAGCCCUUGCAAGAUAAGUAUUUGAAAAGAAAGGAAGGUACUUCAAGGUAACUACAAGGUGGUACAGCAAGGUAUG